rnacentral:miRNA from 1 species
AGGUCAUUUCAAAGAGGGCUG